rnacentral:lncRNA from 1 species
AGUUGCUUGGCCUCCCCUCAGGUCUGGAAGGCUGUACGUCAGGCUGGACCAGGACAACUGGUCUAACAGGCCGUCUAGUGGGGCGUCGAGAGUUGCUUGGCCUCCCCUCAGGUCUGGAAGGCUGUACGUCAGGCUGGACCAGGCCAACGGGGCUAACAGGCCGUCUAGUGGGGCGUCGAGAGUUGCUAGGCCUCCCCUCAGGUCUGGAUGGCUGUACGUCAGGCUGGACCAGGACAACUGGUCUAACAGGCCGUCUAUUGGGGGGCCGAGGGUUGCUUGGCCUCCCCUCAGGUCUGGAAGGCUGUACGUCAGGCUGGACCAGGACAACGGGGCUAACAGGCCGUCUAGUGGGGCGUCGAGAGUUGCUAGGCCUCCCCUCAGGUCUGGAAGGCUGUACGUCAGGCUGGACCAGGACAACUGGUCUAACAGGCCGUCUUGUGGGGCGUCGAGGGUUGCUAGGCCUCCCCUCAGGUCUAGUGAUGCUGACAGGGAUUCUAGGAAUCAUCAUCUCAUGCUGGUGCAGGCUCUCUGGGCUGCUGGGCCGGGAAUCAGGUAGAAGCUUGUAGUUCUUCAGAACCUCAGUGAAGGAGAGCUCCUUGUUGCGCCUGCGUCUGUUGGUUUUGGCAGGCAGCUGGGAGCUGCUGCUGUUAAUCCAACCGGGAGACUCACGACAUCCAUCCUGGACAGGAACUAGGGACUGGAGG